rnacentral:ncRNA from 1 species
UAAUAGAGGCGCAGAGAUUAUUAGUAAUCAUAACUUAGCUUGGCAAGCGAAUAAAGUAUGAUGAAAGGAUGAUCUGCCGAAGCAUUAUUUUCCGCCAAGAAAUAAUGUUGGAGUUAAGUUUAAUAGACUUAUCACUCUCACUACCUAUCGUAGUGAAGGCGCUAUUAU